GAUGAACGCUGGCGGCGUGCCUAAUACAUGCAAGUCGAGCGAACAGACGAGGAGCUUGCUCCUCUGACGUUAGCGGCGGACGGGUGAGUAACACGUGGAUAACCUACCUAUAAGACUGGGAUAACUUCGGGAAACCGGAGCUAAUACCGGAUAAUAUAUUGAACCGCAUGGUUCAAUAGUGAAAGACGGUUUUGCUGUGACUUAUAGGUGGAUCCAGGCCGGAUUAGCUAGUUGGUAAGGUAACGGCUUACCAAGGCGACGAUGCGUAGCCGACCUGAGAGGAGGAGCAGUCGCACUGGAACUGAGACACGGGCCAGACUCCUACGGGAGGCAGCAGUGGGGAAUAUUGGACAAUGGGCGAAAGCCUGAUCCAGCCAUGCCGCGUGGGUGAAGAAGGUCUUCGGAUUGUAAAGCACUUUAAGUUGGGAGGAAGGGCAGUAAGUUAAUACCUUGCUGUUUUGACGUUACCAACAGAAUAAGCACCGGCUAACUUCGUG
rnacentral:rRNA from 1 species